rnacentral:rRNA from 1 species
GAUGAACGCUGGCGGCGUGCCUAAUACAUGCAAGUCGAGCGAACGGACGAGACUCUUGCUUCUCUGAUGUUAGCGGCGGACGGGUGAGUAACACGUGGAUAACCUACCUAUAAGACUGGGAUAACUUCGGGAAACCGGAGCUAAUCCCGGAUAAUAUUUUGCACCGCAUGGUUCAAAAGUGAAAGACGGUCUUGCGGUCACUUAUAGCUGGAUCUGCGCUGCAUUAGCUAGUUGGUAAGGUAACGGCUUACCAAGGCAACGAUGCAUAGCCGACCUGAGAGGGUGAUCGGCCACACUGGAACUGAGACACGGUCCAGACUCCUACGGGAGGCAGCAGUAGGGAAUCUUCCGCAAUGGGCGAAAGCCUGACGGAGCAACGCCGCGUGAGUGAUGAAGGUCUUCGGAUCGUAAAACUCUGUUAUUAGGGAAGAACAUAUGUGUAAGUAACUGUGCACAUCUUGACGGUACCUAAUCAGAAAGCCACGGCUAACUACGUG